rnacentral:rRNA from 1 species
UUUGAUGGCGACCGGCGCACGGGUGAGUAACACGUAUCCAACCUGCCGAUGACUCGGGGAUAGCCUUUCGAAAGAAAGAUUAAUACCCGAUGGCAUAGUUCUUCCGCAUGGUGGAACUAUAAAGAAUUUCGGUCAUCGAUGGGGAUGCGUUCCAUUAGGUUGUUGGCGGGGUAACGGCCCACCAAGCCUUCGAUGGAUAGGGGUUCUGAGAGGAAGGUCCCCCACAUUGGAACUGAGACACGGUCCAAACUCCUACGGGAGGCAGCAUG